CCUACGGGUGGCAGCAGUGGGGAAUAUUGCGCAAUGGGGGAAACCCUGACGCAGCAACGCCGCGUGAGUGAGGAAGUAUCUCGGUAUGUAAAGCUCUAUCAGCGGGGAAGAAAGAGGACGGUACCCGACUAAGAAUCCCCGGUUAAUUACGUGCCAGCAGCCGCGGUAAUACGUAGGGGGAGAGCGUUAUCCGGAUUUACUGGGGGGAAAGGGAGCGUAGACGGGGGCGCAAGUCGGAAGUGAAAGCCCGUGGCUCAACCGCGGAACUGCUUUGGAAACUGCGAGGCUGGAGUGCAGGAGAGGUAAGCGGAAUUCCUGGUGUAGCGGUGAAAUGCGUAGAUAUCAGGAGGAACACCGGUGGCGAAGGCGGCUUGCUGGACAGUAACUGACGUUGAGGCUCGAAAGCGUGGGGAGCGAACAGGAUUAGAUACCCGAGUAGUC
rnacentral:rRNA from 1 species